UUUAGUACACUUGCAAAGGAAGAAU
rnacentral:piRNA from 1 species